UACGAAGGGGGCUAGCGUUGCUCGGAAUUACUGGGCGUAAAGCGCACGUAGGCGGAUUGUUAAGUCGGGGGUGAAAUCCUGGAGCUCAACUCCAGAACUGCCUUCGAUACUGGCGAUCUCGAGUCCGGGAGAGGUGAGUGGAACUGCGAGUGUAGAGGUGAAAUUCGUAGAUAUUCGCAAGAACACCAGUGGCGAAGGCGGCUCACUGGCUCAUUUCUGACGCUCAGGCGCGACAGCGUGGGGAUCAAACAGG
rnacentral:rRNA from 1 species